AUCUUAGGAUUGUAUUGAUUUUAUUUAGGAUUUAGGAUUUGUCUAGAAUUUGGUUUAGGAUUUAAGAUUUGUUUAUGAUUUGAUUGAAGAUUUAGAAUUUGUCUAGGAUUUAGUUUAGGAUUUAGGAUUUAUUUAGGGCUUAGGAUUUGUCUAGGAUUUAGUUUAAGACUUAGAGUUUAUUCAAGAUUUAAUUUACGAUCUAAGGUUUCUUUAGGACUUAGAAUUUAGAAUUUAUUUAGGAUUUGAUUUAAGAUUUAGGAUUUAAUUAAGGUUUAGGAUUUAUUUAGGAUUUGUUUAGGACUUCGGAUUUAAAAUUUGUAUAAGGUUUGAUUUAGGAUUUAAGAUUUAAUUAGAAUUUUAAUUAGAAUUUAAUUAAGAUAUAUUAAGAUUUCAAUUGAUAUUAAAAUAGGAUUUGGUUAAAAUUUAUUUAAGAUUUUUCUAAUAUUUCUUUAGAAUUUUUUCAUAUUUCUUUUAUAAUUUUUUUAAGUUUUCUUUU
rnacentral:lncRNA from 1 species